rnacentral:rRNA from 1 species
CAAUGGACGGUCAACGAGAAGCGAACCUGCGAAGGCAAGCGGAUCUCUUAAAGCCGUUCUCAGUUCGGACUGUAGGCUGCAACUCGCCUACACGAAGCUGGAAUCGCUAGUAAUCGCGAAUCAGAAUGUCGCGGUGAAUACGUUCCCGGGUCUUGUACACACCGCCCGUCACACCAUGGGAGUCAGCAACGCCCGAAGCCGGUGACCCAACCGAAAGGAGGGAGCCGUCGAAGGUGGGGGCCGAUAACUGGGGGUGAAGUCGUAACAAGGUACC